AACGCGAAGAACCUUACCUACCCUUGACAUGUACGGAAGCCUUGAGAGAUCGAGGCGUGCUCGAAAGAGAGCCGUAACACAGGUGCUGCAUGGCUGUCGUCAGCUCGUGUCGUGAGAUGUUGGGUUAAGUCCCGCAACGAGCGCAACCCUUGUCAUUAGUUGCUACGAAAGGGCACUCUAAUGAGACUGCCGGUGACAAACCGGAGGAAGGUGGGGAUGACGUCAAGUCCUCAUGGCCCUUAUGGGUAGGGCUUCACACGUCAUACAAUGGUACAUACAGAGGGCCGCCAACCCGCGAGGGGGAGCUAAUCCCAGAAAACCGAUCGUAGUCCGGAUCGCAGUCUGCAACUCGACUGCGUGAAGUCGGAAUCGCUAGUAAUCGCGAAUCAGAAUGUCGCGGUGAAUACGUUCCCGGGUCUUGUACACACCG
rnacentral:rRNA from 1 species